rnacentral:rRNA from 1 species
GACGAACGCUGGCGGCGUGCUUAACACAUGCAAGUCGAACGGAAAGGCCCUGCUUUUGUGGGGUGCUCGAGUGGCGAACGGGUGAGUAACACGUGAGUAACCUGCCCUUGACUUUGGGAUAACUUCAGGAAACUGGGGCUAAUACCGGAUAGGAGCUCCUGCUGCAUGGUGGGGGUUGGAAAGUUUCGGCGGUUGGGGAUGGACUCGCGGCUUAUCAGCUUGUUGGUGGGGUAGUGGCUUACCAAGGCUUUGACGGGUAGCCGGUCUGAGAGGGUGACCGGCCGCAUUGGGACUGAGGUACGGCCCAGGCGCCUACGGGAGGCAGCAGUGGGGAAUAUUGCGCAGUGGGCGGAAGCCUGAUGGAGCAACGCCGCGUGCGGGAUGACGGCCUUCGGGUUGUAAACCGCUUUCGCCUGUGACGAAGCGUGAGUGACGGUAAUGGGUAAAGAAGCACCGGCUAACUACGUG